rnacentral:tRNA from 1 species
CAUCAAGAAGCUUAUAUAGCAUUAGCCUUUUAAGCUAAAGAAGAAGUUACAAUUCCUUGAUGA